CUACGGGAUGCUGCAGUGGGGAAUAUUGGACAAUGGGCGCAAGCCUGAUCCAGCAAUACCGCGUGUGUGAAGAAGGCCUGCGGGUUGUAAAGCACUUUCAAUUGUGAAGAAAAGCGAGAGGUUAAUAGCCUUUUGUCUUGACGUUAACUUUAGAAGAAGCACCGGCUAACUCUGUGCCAGCAGCCGCGGUAAUACAGAGGGUGCGAGCGUUAAUCGGAAUUACUGGGCGUAAAGCGUGCGUAGGCGGUUUAGUAAGUCAGAUGUGAAAGCCCUGGGCUCAACCUGGGAACUGCAUUUGAAACUGCUGAACUAGAGUGUGGUAGAGGGAAGUGGAAUUCCGGGUGUAGCGGUGAAAUGCGUAGAUAUCCGGAGGAACACCAGUGGCGAAGGCGACUUCCUGGACCAACACUGACGCUGAGGUACGAAAGCGUGGGUAGCAAACAGGAUUAGAUACCCGGGUAGUC
rnacentral:rRNA from 1 species